GACGAACGCUGGCGGCGUGCUUAACACAUGCAAGUCGAACGGAAAGGCCCUGCUUUUGUGGGGUGCUCGAGUGGCGAACGGGUGAGUAACACGUGAGUAACCUGCCCUUGACUUUGGGAUAACUUCAGGAAACUGGGGCUAAUACCGGAUAGGAGCUCCUGCUGCAUGGUGGGGGUUGGAAAGUUUCGGCGGUUGGGGAUGGACUCGCGGCUUAUCAGCUUGUUGGUGGGGUAGUGGCUUACCAAGGCUUUGACGGGUAGCCGGCCUGAGAGGGUGACCGGCCACAUUGGGACUGAGAUACGGCCCAGACUCCUACGGGAGGCAGCAGUGGGAAUAUUGCACAAUGGGCGGAAGCCUGAUGCAGCAACGCCGCGUGCGGGAUGACGGCCUUCGGGUUGUAAACCGCUUUCGCCUGUGACGAAGCGUGAGUGACGGUAAUGGGGAAAGAAGCACCGGCUAACUACGU
rnacentral:rRNA from 1 species